UUGAAAGCUUCGGCUUACUUUGAUGGUUUUAAACCCCCAUCAGCAAAAAUUCUAUUAAUUUAGGUUUUGCUGAUGGAUUUUAUUACAAACUCUUGUACUAAGCUGUGUUUGUUUGAAAAUAAUAUUUUAAUGCUUUA
rnacentral:misc_RNA from 1 species